UCAAUAAGCGGAGGAAAAGAAACUAACAAGGAUUCCCCUAGUAACUGCGAGUGAAGCGGGAAAAGCUCAAAUUUAAAAUCUGGCGGUUAUGCCGUCCGAGUUGUAAUCUGGAGAAGCGUUUUCCGUGUUGGACCGUGUACAAGUCUCUUGGAACAGAGCGUCAUAGAGGGUGAGAAUCCCGUCUUUGACACGGACUACCAAUGCUUUGUGAUACGCUCUCAAAGAGUCGAGUUGUUUGGGAAUGCAGCUCAAAAUGGGUGGUAAAUGCCAUCUAAAGCUAAAUAUUGGCGAGAGACCGAUAGCGAACAAGUACCGUGAGGGAAAGAUGAAAAGCACUUUGGAAAGAGAGUUAAACAGUACGUGAAAUUGUUGAAAGGGAAACGCUUGAAGUCAGUCGCGUUGUCUGGGACUCAGCCUUGCUUCUGCAUGGUGUACUUCCUGGUUAACGGGCCAACAUCGAUUUUGGUCGGUGGAUAAAGUCAAGGGGAAUGUGGCACCUUCGGGUGUGUUAUAGCCUCUUGUCGGAUGCAUCGACUGGGAUCGAGGAUCGCAGCACGCCUUUUUGGCCGGGGUUCGCCCACGUAACGUGCUUAGGAUGUUGGCAUAAUGGCUUUAAUCGACCCGUCUUGAAACACGGACCAAGGAGUCUAACAUGCCCGCGAGUGUUAGGGUGGAAAACCCUUGCGCGUAAUGAAAGUGAAAGUUGGGACCUCUGUCAUGGGGGGCACCGACGCCCGGCCUUGAACUUCUGUGACGGCGCCGCGGUAGAGCGUGUAUGUUGGGACCCGAAAGAUGGUGAACUAUGCCUGAAUAGGGCGAAGCCAGAGGAAACUCUGGUGGAGGCUCGUAGCGAUUCUGACGUGCAAAUCGAUCGUCAAAUUUGGGUAUAGGGGGCGAAAGACUAAUCCGAACCAUCUAGUAGCUGGUUCCUG
rnacentral:rRNA from 1 species